UUUUAUUAUUAUUAUAUUAUUGUAUUUUAGCCCAGCGCCGUACCCACCGUGUGCGCACCACAUGGAACGUAUAUAAUAUAACAUUAAAGAAAUUCGUGUCGACAAAGCAAAUCCAUACACUUUGAAACUAAGAACAUCAUUUAACAAUACGGAUUACCAAAUAGUAAAGGUGAGGAGAGAAACAUGCAAUAGCAAUUUCAACAGUAUGGAACUUAAAAAAGCUUACGACUGUCCACCUGAAAUAAGUGCAGAGAAAAAAUCUGAUUUGCUAGAAUUGUCUGGCGUGGCAGUGCGAAUGUGCGAUCAAAUAAACUCGGUCAAAGGUCAAUGUAUAUUUAGAAAACCGUACUGCGUACACGUCGAGGGACUUCACUCGAACGCCAACACCGCACAGGUAUUAUAGGAGUAUAGACAAUAUAUUUAGUCAGUGCAAUAGGACAUCUGGACACAAGUAUAGACGUACGUUAUGUACUUAUAUCCUAUAGUGGCGUAUCAUGUAUAUUGCAGGAAUAUACGGACUACAGACACACAUAAAAACGCACACGCACGAAUUAUAUCUGUAUUUAAUACGAACGUAACGGUUAUGCGAAAAAACUCGUCGGAAAAAUGCGCGUAUACCGCGAUAAAUAAAU